GAUGAACGCUGGCGGCGUGCCUAAUACAUGCAAGUCGAGCGAAUGGAUUAAGAGCUUGCUCUUAUGAAGUUAGCGGCGGACGGGUGAGUAACACGUGGGCAACCUGCCCAUAAGACUGGGAUAACUCCGGGAAACCGGGGCUAAUACCGGAUAACAUUUAGAACCGCAUGGUUCGAAAUUGAAAGGCGGCUUCGGCUGUCACUUAUGGAUGGACCCGCGUCGCAUUAGCUAGGUGGUGAGGUAACGGCUCACCAAGGCAACGAUGCGUAGCCGACCUGAGAGGGUGAUCGGCCACACUGGGACUGAGACACGGCCCAGACUCCUACGGGAGGCAGCAGUAGGGAAUCUUCCGCAAUGGACGAAAGUCUGACGGAGCAACGCCGCGUGAGUGAUGAAGGCUUUCGGGUCGUAAAACUCUGUUGUUAGGGAAGAACAAGUGCUAGUUGAAUAAGCUGGCACCUUGACGGUACCUAACCAGAAAGCCACGGCUAACUACGUGCCAGCCGCCGCAGUAA
rnacentral:rRNA from 1 species